ACGCACAGGAUUUAUGGGAUUUCGUGAUAUUGAUGAUGGAUCGCAGCAAUUUGUUACGAGCAAGGUGAAUGGCAAAGGCCAUUUCCUUAAAAAUGUUGAA
rnacentral:rRNA from 12 species